GUGGGGAGCCUGUGUUAGAUCUGACUUAGGCCUCAGCCACACAAGCCGAUGGACUGAGUCGGGCCACACUCUCCCU
rnacentral:pre_miRNA from 12 species